CUCUAGGUUAUGACUUUUGCUUGCCUUCAGCAAUGUCAAAACUUCAGCCAGCAUUUACUUAGAAUUUUUAUGAAAUAUUAAUAAAAUUGUUUGGUACUGUUGUGUUUCUGAAACUAGACUUGGUUACAUGCCUGUAAUAUUCUCUUUCAAAACGUUUGUGUAUUGGAGAAAGAGAAUCUAUCAUGUAGUUAAACAUACGUGUUUUCUAACCACUUUGGACAGUUUAUUAUUUCUUUCUAUUGUCUUAACCAAAUCCUGGUUGCUUUUGUAGUCUGUAUAGUACCUCAGAAAACAGUUGUUUGCUUUAGUAACAUGAGCAGUAUUUAUUUCUUGUUUGGGUUCUGAGAUCUUGAACAUGGAAGUGUUCAGAGAGACAAUAUCUCAUAAUGCUUUGAUUCUGCACCCUUCUCAUUAAUCAUUUUGAAUAAAAGGAAGAAAAUUAAUUUAUCUUUAAUUCCUUACCUAUAAGAAAAAGAAAAAGUAUCCAUAUACUAUUUUAAUUGGUUAGAUUAUUUUUUUCUUUCAAUUAAAUUUGAAAUGACAUCUUCAGGCAGUUUAACUUCCUAAUUUUGAUUUUACAGUAAAAAUGUUUAACAAAGUCUCAUAAAAAUCUUUGUGGGAGGGGAGAAUAUGUUUCAUUCAUCCUUAUGUAUUCUGAUUGGUGUUGUGUUGAAAACUAAUAGUAGGAAUGUUAAUACUCAGGGACAAACUCCUCUCGGAAACACACUGUGUAAACAUGUAUUAGUAUGUAAGCAUGCAAAUCAGACUAACUCAGCGAUCUUCAGUGGAAUCAAACCAGCCUUAACUCUGGUGAAGACUAAAGCAGAAAUUUACUGUAUUAUGUGAGGAGCUGAUCCUUCUGGCAGUGAAACAAAAAACAAGCUAUAUUGUUGUUUUUACUUGAAAGAAAAUACAGUCUUACUUUUUAAUCAUUAGUAUGUGUGAUAGAGCUGUUGUUAAUUUCAUAUAACAGUGGGACAGAAUGUAGAGUAGGUGCAGUCCUGUGCCCAUUUGAUGUCUGAGGAACUCUUGAUUUAAGAGCUGUGUGCAUUCUGUUGUUGUACUAUGGAUACAAAACUAUUAAAAUAAGCUAUUUUAAUACAUAGACUUGGAAUACAGAGUAGAUAAAAUAAAUGUGCUAUCUUAAUAAUGCAAGUUACCUACUAAUACAAGUUAUUCCCUAAGGUGGAAUGCUCCCUGCUCCUCUCACUCAUUAAAUAGUAUCUACUUGGAAGUACCUGUACUUUACUUUUCAUUUUAUUCGUGGUCAUUGGUAAUAGUUGAUAUAAUUCUUUAAUUUUCCGAAAACAGGACAUUUUGAGCAGACUCUUGUUUCUAAAAACCAAUAAUUAGUCCCAGGCUGCUGCGCUACUAUAUUGAUUUUUCUUUGUCUUGCUUACAACAGUCUUAAAACAAUUGCAGAAUUGGUGUAGUCAUUUUACACUAACUUGUUUCUUAAAACCACAAAUAACAACCAGGACCAAACAAGCAGAAACCUAACUGGUGCUAAUGCUAAAUUUUAUGUAUGUAUAUGUGUAUAUGAGUGUAUAUAUAUACAUCUAUGUGUGCAUGCACAAAGAUUUAAAGUGUUGCUACGAGUCCCUUUGGGCUUUGUUCAGUCAGCAACCAAAAUGUGAUCUUUAUGCUGUGUAAUAGCCAUUUUGCAUAUGUGCAAUAACAAGUUGUUCUCAGUCUGUUUCCCUUACCCCUAAGCAUUUCAUUUCUUGAUUUAAUUCAAUGUCAUUUCAUAAAAUCAUUAAAUCAUAAAGGUUGGAAAUGACCACUGAGAUCAUCUAGUCCAAUUGUUGGCUCAUCAGCACCAUGCCCACAUUUCCUAGAGAUGUGUGCCCUGUGACCAACUGGGCUGUCCUUUCCUUUCAUGCUCACACUUCACCUUCCUCAGUCUUCUACAGCAAAAUGGUUGUCUAGAAGUGUUAAAUAACUGUUUCCAAAGAGACAGAGAAAUAGAAUUUGUCAAAAUGUUAAAAAUAAAAUAAAAUGAAAUAAAAUCAAUAACAAUGAAAAAACAAACUGUAGGCGUCUUUCCUGGAUGGUUUCUGAGUCACAUCAGAUGGUAUGUGGUCCAGAACAUAAUGAUAUUGAGAACAUCGGGUGAUACAUGAUCCGGAGAGGAAUAGGAAAUGGUUUAAGCUUCUGGAAGGGAGAUUCUGAAGCUGGACAGUCAUAGCUUUUCAUGGCUGUAAGCUGUGCAGUGUAGAGGAGGUGGGAUUCAGUCAACUGAAUCCUGACAGUCAUUGUGGGUUAAAUCUUGCAGACAUCUGAGAGAUCUACAACCCACCAAAGAAAGGUUUUGGCGUUACCAUUCACCUGACCUGCCUUGGACAAGUUACUUAGAUAGAAAUGGUGAGGCUUUUAAGUUAACUAUGGAUACUUUUGUGUGUAAACGGUUGUUUUGUAGGCAGUAUACUCCAUGCUUAAUGUUUGUUGAACAUUGUUUUUGGUAGAGACUUUCUUCAUGAGAUAUUUUGGUGCUUAUAUGUGAAUAUGAGCCACUAAGCAGUAAGUACAUCUAAAAGAACAGAGGGUAGAGUGUUUUGACAGAUUUUGAGCUCUUCACUGCAGGAAACUGCAGGAAACAAUGUACCUUACAGCAGAUUUCCUUGCUCCCCGGCAGGAUUUUGGAGACUCUGUGAGCCCUUCUCAGCGGGACAUUCUUCUUGUCUGCACACCAUAAAUAAGAUGCCAGAUCACCAGUCUGGUGUAUGUACAGCCUGUGUUUGUCUAUACCCAAAAAUAACGCAUGAGGAGAAGAGUGGGAGAAGAAUCCUUUUUUUAUUAUUAUUUUUUAUUUUUUUCUGAAAAGGAAAAUGGCAUGAAUUUUAAUUUGUUUCUCUGUUGAACAACAACAAAAAAACCUAAGCUAUUUUAAAGAAUGGUCAGCUGGGUAAUAUCUGUAUUUAUAUUUUAGUGAAAAGAAUGGAAAGCACAUAGUUUGUGUCAUAUUUUUAGCAUGCAGCUUUUCAACUUGCUUCACUGUUGGCUUUGUAUAUGCCUUGGGAGGCAAGGAACUCAUGUGCAGCUCAGGGCAUAAUUUAUCUGCUAAGAUGCAUCCUAACUGUCUUGCUGCUUUUUGUGUGGUAGAAACUAAAUGCAGGGUUCUGAAUGCUUCCCUGUUUGCUUCAAUGGGUAUUGGAUCAAUGAGCUCUCUUCAGGACUGGUCUUAAUCUCCUGGCUUGUAGCCAGAGGUGUGUCUGCAAUUUGAUGACGUUGACAACAGUACUGCAGACGUCAUUCAAAGGGUGAUGCCUUUGGAUGGAGUUAACACUGAAAUAACUGGAGUGCCUAUAUUUUCUCUCUUCAGUGCUGCUGUGUGGUUGCACUGCUUUAUCCUAGUGAAGAUCUUUACUUUUGGGAUCAGUUCAAUGUAUCAGUACGUUUUCAAAUGCAAUCAGGAGAUGGUGUCUAAAUGUCCAGAAAAAAACCUUUUGCUUUUAAUUCCCAUGGUUUUCUAAGAUGUAAAGAAAAACUGUGUCAUGAAUAUCCUAGAGUUAAGAUUUUUAUUUUUAUUUUUUAAUUGAGAGCAGAAGAUCUUUUCCUUAACUAAGUGGUUUUAUCUUUUAAGUAUAUUUUGGACUGCAGCUGUUGGAGCGAUGCCAUGAACAUGAUUUUGUGAUUUUGUUAAAAAUAGUAAUGUACACAGUCAGCAACUAGCAGAAAUAAUGACCAACAGGAACAGCAGUGUGACACAUUCUCUGUGUGGCUUUGUCGAGUAAUUUAUACCCUUCACCACUUCAGCAUGCAACAAAAGGAUUACAUAUUUUAAAACGUGUUGGUAAGGAUUUCCUUACAUUUGAAAUAUGCUUUCAAAAUGAAAGCAACAUGCAAAUGAUGACUAUUACCAACAUACAAUCCAUUUCAAAAAGGGACUACCACUGCACUGUAUACAGUACUCUAUUGUUCAGGUUAAGAAAUAUCACUGAAAAUGAAUAAGCUGGAUUUUCCUUUCUGUAUACUUUUCUCCUUCAACAGUUGAAUAGAGCUGUUUUCUUUAUACAGAGCAAUACAGCUCUCAGCUAUAUGCAAGAAAAUAUAGAAGCUGAAAAAAAGAUAAGCAAAUAUAUUCCCUCCAAAGAGAGUAUCUGCUUUAUAUAAAUAAAAUCUUUUUAAUUUUUUUUUUUUCAAUAAUAUGUGAUUGAAACCUGUGGUAGUUCCAGCUUAUGCUGGCCAGCUGUGGGGCUGGGGUAUAAAACUGGAGUCAGUUCCUACUUCCUUUAUUCACACAGAUAUUUCCUUUGACAUUAGACAUGCAUGAAGUCAGUUUGCCUAGAGUUGCUCAUGGCCACGUGGGGUUGAAUGAACCAAUGUGUUUCCAUGUCUACUUACGCAGGUAUUUAUUAGAACAUGUACCCAGGGGUAGCAAAAGCAUGGAGAUGAAUUUUGCUGAUCUUUGGAAUCCCCUGCAACAGACUUCUGUAGCACGGCCCACCAUGUCCAAAGCCCGGGCCAAGGAACAGUAAAGAGAAUGUCCAGCCCCAUGAUCAGAGCUCAGUAAAUCCAUUGUAUUGGCAUAGCAGGGAAUUAAAGUAAGCAGGACUAGCAGACCUAAAGUGAGAUACAAGGCUAGAAAAGCCUCUUUGUUCAUAUGAGGUGUUCUCUGCAGUACAGCUAGAGUAGAUCCUUUGUCAUAUUUCUGUAUAUGUAUCUUUUUUCCCUCUAUGUAAAUAGCAUGCAGUAAAACUUGCAUUAACAAUGCUUAAUGACUCUCUAAUGUACCAACCAUGAUACACAUCCAUUUGCAAAAUUAUAAUUUCCACACAUUGUUGGUAAAUAUUACUGACAGUAGAUUGGGACAACCAUAUUUUAAUCCCAAAGCCUGUUGUGGUGGCCAGACCAAUACUCUUGCCUGUAUGGGAAGUGUUGAAUCAUGGCCUGAACCUCUGAUUGACCACCUGAGGCGAGCGCUGAGUCAGCCACAGGGGCACAGGUGAAUGCAAUUUCACCUGAGUGACUGGAAGGGGUGGAACCUGGCUCCACCCCUCCUAGACCCCAUUUAAGGGCUGACUCCCGAGGAGGGAAGAUAUCUAUCUGGAGAUCACUCCCUUUGGAGCUCUUCUGUGAGCCCAGGAUAUGGGUAAGAUCUUUAUUUCAUUACUCCUUUGUAAAUGUGAUUAUCUCUCUGGUCCUAUACCUGUAUACCUAUUUACCUUACAAUCUGUAUACCUGUUUGCCAUGCACUUGCCCAAUAAUUGCUUAUACUUCUGUUGUUCAGAAAAUGAAUGAAUGAUUCUCACAACACUCCGUUUCUCAUCACCAAAGAAAGGUUUUCUCCUUUUUUUUUUUUUUUUUUUAAAAAAAAUCUCAUCCCUCUGCACAGGAGAAAUUCCUUUAGUCCAUUUCCAACCCAUAAAGAAAAAUGAAAAAUCCUCUACAGGAAAACACCAAUUUGUGUAGUGCACUGAAGAUGGCACUGUAGUAACAACUUCACCCUGUGAAUGAUAAGGUAUGCUUGUGUUUGUUGCUGAGAAUUUAUGAUUUUUUUUAUUUAUUUAGCUCAGCUAAUGUAAAGCCAAAGGUCAGAUUAAUGGAGCACCAUCUGACGCUGCUGUAAUUAGGGCUGGAGAAGUGUUUCCUUUACUUGAAUUUAUUCAUAGGGAGAUUUGGACCCAGCCCAUGCUGUGUGGAAUAGUUUAUAAUUGUCUGUAGAAAACUUUUUAAUUACAAAGAAACUGGAAAUGUAAUGAAGAAAAUCCUUGCUGUUAGGGUGUCACUUUUACACAUCUGUAACCCUUGGGGGCUGUGUUAAGUCAGCAGAUCCCUAAAGACAUGGUGGACCCCAGGGCAGGGCCUCACGCUUAUUGGUUUUGUUAUGCAAACCUUCCAAAAAAUCAGUUUCUUGUAGAGUUUGGAGGGUUUUAUUCACGUGAAACAGCGUCUUCAAGUUAAAUAAAUAAAGAAGCACGUACGUACAAAGACUGGUAGUGAUAGGUCAGAGUCACAAUUUAGUUAGUGAUGAUUUGUAGUAAAAAUAAAGAAAACCAAACAGAUUUAAGCUGACAGAUCUAUAGGUCUGCAGUAAUCUCUUUAUCCAUUUCUUUAUCCACCCCUAUUAAAUCUUUCAAUCAGGCCAGGCGGGAGUUUUGGUUUGUUUUGAAGUGUGUGAGUAAUUGGGCCCCUGUGCACCAAUUAUUUCCUCACUGCUAUGUCCAUCAUUCAUACCUAAAUGAUUUUGGAGGGGAUUAAACAUGGAAACUUUGCUUUUUUCUCAGGACUUCAAGCUACUGGGACUGCUCAUGGGAACUACCACCACGGGGCUUUAUUUAUUUAUUUGUUCAUAUGCAUUUGUUUAUUUAGUGUUGGACUUUAUUUACUUGUUUGUUUGCUUAUUUAGUGUUGAAAAAAAGCAGGAUUUAAAACUCCAAAAAUGUCAAUGAUAGACAGCAGCUGCUCCAAAUGACCUAAUAAUCUCUAUCAGCAAGUUGAAAGUGGGGCAGAGUUCAAAGCCCUCAGAAUAUGGUUCUUAGGUGCUGGGCUGCAGGAAAAGACAUGAUGUUCUGAUGGGUGUUUGGCUUCUUUUCUGUAUCAGGAAUGAUGCAAAGCCAGCCAGAUGUUGCAUGUCUUUAGGAAAACCUGUGCACAAAUCUGAGGUGUCACAUCUGGUUAAAAGUCCUGGCUCCUGAACAUCCCUUUCUGUGGCUGUAUGCUUGUUCCUUUUCCCUGCAGGGAUUGGCUUUAUGGUUGUUUUUUUUUCUUCUUUUUAGAUGCCCCAGCCUUAGCCCAGGUGUGGUGGGAGGGAGAGAAAGCAGUGCUUUGCUUUGCUUGGCACAGGCUCUUCUGAUCGAUUAACAACUGUUUGCUUCCGCAGACAUCCUUAGCUCGUGUUCCUCGGUGGGAAGGAUGACAGUCACACGGGGCAUGGGGAGAAGUGUUAUGUGAGGCAUUUCUAGUGGAGACAGAAAGAAAUAGACACAAAAACGUGUGGCUGUGAAAGCGAUUCUGGCUGCGUUGCAUGCUGGCACUAAAGUGGAAACCAGCGUGGGCACCAUCUUCAGGCCCUGGAUGAAAGCUGAGCUGCUAAACACCAGCUCUGCAGCAUCACCCAAGGUGAGGGCCUAGGAGCUCAGCAGCAAGCCCUUUGGGGUUAGGGCUUUCAGUCUUUCUUCUCCCACACAAUAGGCAUUUCGGAAGCCCUUUGUGUGCAGUUCUUCAAAGAUCUGGGAGUUAAAUAACUAAAUAUGUUUAGGGCCUUGAUCUUGGAAUAAAUCUGGUGGUAACUCUUUAAUUAUCCCAGCAGGGUGCUCCUUUCUGCACACAGAACUCCUCAGCUGCUUUCACUCUGAACCUUGCUUAUGUUUGCCUUCUCUGCCUGCCCAAUUCUUCUGACAAGAACAACUGCAGUUCCCUCUACGGAGAAGGAUGGAACGCUGGUUUUUGCUCAGGUUUGAAUGAUAACCAGCAGCUAAUCAUCUCUGUUUGUGCCUACAUCCUUCUACCACAACCUCCAGCUACAUUAAAACAGAAUGUGGGGUGAUAGAGAGAGUCACAAGUGAUGCAAGUAGCUCAUGGUAAGCUAAGGGCAUAUUUGAGAGAUACUGAGGGAUGAACUGAAGCAAUUUGUUCUGGAGGUCCAGAGAUGGAUUUUUUUGUUAGAGGUGACUUUGGGAUCAUAGGAUUGCUUAGGUGCUUGUAAAGCACUUAGCAAGCAAAUCAAUGAGUUAUGUGAAACAGGCUGAGCUGCUACAAAAAAUGUGUACUCUAACUUAUAUACUCAGGUAAACUUUUGGAGAUCUCUGUGAUGCAUUGGUCAUUAAUAGUUAAUGUAUCACGUAUUAAAUAUUUCAUUCUGUAUAGUUCUUUAAUGGAAAAGUGAUGGAUUGUGUUGUCUACAAGAAUCCAUUUAUAAAGAUCUGGUCGAUUUCUCCUUUUGAAAAAUAUUUAUAUCCAAUUUGCAGGAGGUAAAAUGUAUUAUGAAGAGAUUGGUUGUGCAGAUGUGUUGCCUUCUAAACUAAAGAAAGACAGGUCAGUAUCAGCAAGCAGUAUUUGUACAGCAAAAGGGCAGUCGUGAAACUAGUGAAACUACCACCUCCAUCUUCAUCAUCUCCAUGAUCACUCUGAGUUUGAGCCACUGCUUCUACCUCUCAUGGCUGAUGAAGCAGUGAUUACAUGAGGACUUGCAUUAGCAUAGGCUGUAGUGCAAGGAAGAUUCAGAAACUACACAGUGUCCUUGUUCGUGCUGAGCAGUGCAGCCACAUCUCCGCACCUUUGGGACUUAAAGCCUCUGCUACUAUAGUGCUUGUGUCCUUAAGACUGGAGCCACUGAAGCAGACCAAGACAGAAGACAGGAGAGAAGAAACACUAUUAGAAAGUAGUGUUGUGCAAUCAUUCUCCUUUUUUUUUUUUUGUGUAGUGAUGUCACUUGAAAACUGUGUCACAGUCUCUCCUGUUUUUGUCAUCUCAUGUGGCCACCACCUCCCUUUGUCCCAUGCACAAAUCCUGGUAUGUAUUAAAAGCGCUCUCUCUUAGUUUGUUUCUCAAGCCUCCCACUAUGUGACAGACCAUGAACACUUUCCUUUUCCUCUUCCAGUAGUUUAUGCUCUAAAUCCAGCAGAGAGCUUUCUUAGGUCUUUAAUAGCAAGCUUAAGGUUAAGCAUUUGUUUAAGCACGCUGCUAAACUGUGUUCUGCUGAAUCUCAGCCAAAAGAAAACAGAUGGGCUAAUUUACCCUGAUGUUCUUCUGUGAGCCUUCAGGAGAGCUGUAAGAGCAGCAGCAUUGAAAGGUGUGCUCCAGAGCAAGUGAGAAGCAUAGCUAAGCAAUUCCAGGCCAGGAGGUGGCUUUGAUUUCCCUAGCAGGCUACAGAUUUGGGGAUCAUACUUGCCCUUGUUACUGCUCCCGUUCCAAGGAAGAAUGCCACCCUCUGUGCAAGGAAGUGCCAUCCAACCUGUGAGGCUCCCUUUUAUCUACAAGGUCAAGGAACAGCAGUCUUUGCUGUUUGUCACCAAGAAACAGCUGUGGCUGGACUGCACUCAGUGAGUAGGACUUUUCUUUCUGAUGCAUCAUCCCAUCUCUGCUGUAGCAUGUUUGAAAUAGAAUUGUGCUCCUCUUCCAACAGCACUUCUGAUGAUUUGGAAGGAGCGCAAACUGUUGAUGUAUCCUUAAAAGCUGUUCCCUUUUACUAGUGAGUAGCUUGUAUAAUUUGCCAUGCUUUGGGAUUGAAAGAUUUCUGAGAUUGAUGUUAGCCCAUUAGAACUUGGUUUAAAAUAUUGACCAGUGUCCAUCACUGAAGAAACAACGUGAUAAGUUUAAGCCUUUGAAAUACAUCACAUACUUGAAGUAUUAAAUAGUUGGCUAUGUAACAUAUUAGUGGGGGAAAAAAUAUUCUUGUUAGCUUAGGAGCAGAGAUUUGUGGAGCUAUGUUUUUAAAGGAAAUAAAUAACGUUGCUCACAAACAAAGUGCUGCUAAUGCUCGUGUUCAUUUUCAAAUGUGCUGACUGAAGUGUGAGGUCUCAAAAGGGUAUAAUACAGUCCUAGGGAAAGACAGGAAGUGAACACUGAAUUAAAAGCUUUAAUAUAAUUCAAGAAUAGUCUGAAUCAGUGCUGCAUUGGCAGUAUUUAUUGUUCCAGUGGUUUAUGUUUGGUGUGGUGUGUUUUUUUUUUUUGUGAGCAUGGUUUGGUUUCUGUAAUUGAUGACAUUCCUGCUCUCCAUGGGGAGCUGGCUUGUUACCAGAAAGUGUCUGUUUAUAGUUUUAAUGCCAAAUAAAAAAGUAUGGGGAAGAAAGGAAAGGUAGAACUUGAUCUUUAAAAUGUCUUUCUCAUGAAUUAUUUAUGCUAUUUAUACUGCAAGAUCAAAUGCUGUUUUUUUUUUUUAAAAAAAGUAUGACAGAGGUGGGAUAUGAGCAACAAAUCUUUGCUAAGAAAGAGAAAACAAAAGCACCUCCAAACCUCAAACAAAAAGUUUUCCUAAGAAAUAUCAAAGACCUAUGCUGGGGGGGCUGUAAAAUGCAGACCCAAAUCUAUCAGUUUAUUUUUACAGCAAGGUGUUGUCAAACUCUUCUCUGAUCUAAGACUAAACAGCAGUCUGCAGAGUGGGGUGGCAGAACACAAGUCGCCUUUGUUUUUAGAAUACUACAGGCUGGAAAGGGCCACUGCAUGCUGUAGCUUCAGUAAAAGCAGAGAAUUUCAGCUCCCUUCCCCUCCCUUUCCUUCUCCAACCCUUCUCUAAUCCUUCUCUAACCCUUCCCGUUGUGAAUGUUCAAGUCCCUUAAUUUAAUACAGUGAGCAAUGGAGGGUGUAUGUGAACUUCCAAUCUCACCUACCCUAAUUUUCUUCUGACCACCUAGAGAACAGCAGUGGACAUCUUUCUAAAUGUCAGUAGAUAUGUGCUGGGGAAGGGAUGCAAAAGAAAACACACACAAAACAAAACUUUUUAAUCAAUUUUCUGAGUUUAGGCAAUGCUGCAUUUGGCUUCCUAGGAAUAUGUCAUCUGAAAUACGUAGUGAAAGGUGCAGAUGAUGCCCAGAAGAUAGGUUUUGCUCUGAGUUCGUACAGAUAUCUGAGUGGAAGAUUUGUAUUGUAUUUGUAAUCUGUGUUACUUUCCAGGUUGCCUGGGGCAGGUGUGCCUACUCCUUGCUGUCCAUUUGCAUCUGUGACUUGCAGGAAGCUCACCCUCCAUGAAACCCACAGCUCCCUGCCAGUGAGCUGGAAGUGUUCUCAGUCUUGUCUUACCUCUGAGCGUGAAAGAGACAAAAUGCAGUGCUGGACCUGCUGCUCUACGACUCUGUGGAAUGGAUUGGUGGCAUCAGGAUUGGAGGCUGCUUGGGCUCUACUGACCACGCAAUGCUGGAGUUCAUGCUCUUGAGGGACACUGAUUGGCAAAGAUCAAAAAUCAGGAAGCUUAAUUUUAAGAAAAACAAAUUGCAGCUCUUCAGGGAGUCUGUCCUCAAGGACAAGGGAGUGGAGCAGAUCUGACAGGCCUUUAAGGAAGCUUUCUUCAGGGCACAAGAGUUCUCCAUCUCCUGGUGGAGGAAGUCAGGAAAAGAAGGCAAGAGACAGGCGUGUCUGAACUGGGACCUGCUGGUCAAACUGGAGAGCAAGAAUAAAAUGCACAGGCAGUGGAAGCAGGGACAGGUAACCUGGGAGGAGUAUAGGGAUGCUGCUAGGCUGUGUAGGGAUGGGGUCAGGAAGGCCAAGGCCCAGAUGGAACUGGAUUGGCAAGGGGCACAAAGAAAGGUAACAAAGGUUUCUGUGUGUACAUCAAUGGGAAAAGGAAAGUCCAGUCCCCCUCCCCCCCCCCCCCAUCCUGAAAUGAGCAACACAGGUAACAACAGAGAAGGCUGAGGUAUUCCACAACUUUUUUGCCACAGUCUUCACUCGUGAAGCCCUACACACAGCCACUGGGUGGAUGGUUUGAAAGGUGGGAACUGGGGGAACAUCACCCCUCCUGUUAUAAGCAAAGGUCAGGUUUGCAACUGCUUGAGAAAAUUGAACAUCCCUAUGUCUAUGGGUACUGAUGAGGCACAUCUUGGAUUCCUGAGGGGACUGUCUGACAUAGUUGCCAAGCCAUUCUUGAUUGUAUUUCAGAAGUCAUGGUGGUCAGGUGAAGUCCCUGGUGACUGGCAAAGAGGCAACAUCACACCCAUUUUUAAGAAGGGUAGAAAAGAUGACCCUGGGAGGGUCACAGAAAUGAUCCAAGGGAUGGAACACCUCCAUUGUGAGGACAGGCUGAGAUAGCUGGGACUGUGCAGCCUGGAGAAAGGAAGGCUCUGGGGAGAGCCAGAGAGGUGGUAGAUGCCUCAUCCUUGGAGACACUCAAGGUCAGGCUGGACUGAGCUCUGAGCACUUGAUGGAGCUGUAGGUGUCUCUGCUCAUUGCAGGGGAGUUUGACAAGAUGACCUUUAAAGGUCCAUUCUAUGAUUUGAUAAAAAUGAAUAGUUUUAGGAUCAGCAGUUGCUAUCUGUGUCUUUAUGUCCUAAUACAACACUUAUAUAUUUUUAUUUAUAUAUAAUAAUCUGCCUCAGUUUCUACUUCGCAGAUUAAUGUCUUCUUCAUUCACUCACUUAUUCGUUUGUAUGUUUUAAUCAUUCAGUAAGCUAGAUUUAGAGAAGAUGCCUAGCUUAGACUACAAAUAACAAGUAAAGACACACAGACAAAAGAACACAACUCUUUCAGGACAAGGUCACCCAAAGCAACAUACCCUUCCUGCUGAUGCUUUCUGAGAGAUUCACAAGAGUCAUCAUGACCCCUUGUUUUUUCAGUAGAGCUGAACAGGCCAUAGCAGGGGACCACAGAGAGGAUAAAAAAAUAGCUCAGAGAAAAAAAAAAUGUUAAAUAUUAGAAUGUGCUACUUUGCAGUAAAAUUUAAACUAUUUUCUAAAUGUUUACUGCUAAACUACUAGAAGAAAUCUCAUUUUUCUUGCUGAAAACAAAGUAAUCUGUUUCAGGUUGAUAUGUGUGCCAAAGCCCUAUAUGUGUGUUGAUAUGUGUAGAAAUUUCCAUAGAGGGCACAUGAAAUUGAAGAUUUCCUGGAUUUUUCCAGAGUUUGAAGAAAAAUAAAACAAACAAAAGUCAGUACUGAUAAACUCCAGCAAAUGUCUUAUGUUGCUGAUUUCAGUAAGAACAAAUGAUCAUCCUACCUUGCAUAAUCCUCCAGGUAAGGUCAAGAGAAACAUAUACUAGAAGCCCUAACAUUAAUAACAUUACUUAUAUUUAUGGCAUAUUCCUCAUGUUCACAAUUUUGUCAUAUCCUUUCUUCUGUAUUUAAGUCAACGUGGACAAGUAUAUGAAUUAGCAGCUACAGAAGUCAACUGCUUGAAGACAUUGAUCAAAGCUGGAAUGUCAGUAGCAGGAGGUCAGUGCCUGCAGCAGCUGUGGGACAUGGUUCUUGCUCCUGCUCAAGUGCUGUGCACACUAUUUUAUGAUCUGAUGAUGGUCUGAAAAGAUGAAAGAUGAGGGAUUGCAGGACAGCUGCUCUUGAAUGAAAACAUGACAUUAUUGUUAAAAAAUAAUUCAACUUAAAGUAGCAGGAGAUAAAAAUUCCCCCUUUUCUCCACACCACAGCCACAACUGUGCUCAGAGCUCUUGCUGAAGGAUUUCCCUGAGCUUUACUGGCCUCUCAGUGGGCCCCUCUGUUUUUAGAGGUUAAACUUAAACGCCAUAUAAUCAGCAGCUCUUGUUGACUUGGAAUUACAGCAGGGUCUCAGGCAAUUUGGGAACUCCCAGCCAGUUGGAAGUGGCAGUGCAGAUGCUCGCUCAUGCAUUCAAACCCAUGCACAGAGGUGAAGGUUUUUGUUUUUGUUUUUGUUUUUCCUUUUAACAAAACCACUCUUACCAUACAAACGUGACAAGUUGCAAAGAUUUGUGAAGAAAGCAUUUACUUCACGGUUGGUUUUUGUUGUCCUGUGCCAUAUAAACACUGCAGCAUUAUGCAGCAUGUGCCUACUGCUUGCUUAGGAGCAAAGCAGUCUCCCCAAAUUAAACAGAUUUAUGCACUCAGGGGGAAAACUGACCAUAAAGAAAAGCCAUCAUUUGAUCCGUGCUAUUACAGUGGUUUGUUCAGUGGCUGAGUGAGGAACCGCACAGCUGAUGUCACUUUCCCACACUGGGUUUAUUUCUCAGUUAGCUCUGCUGCCAUGACUAGAUGUCAGCUCAGCUCCCAAACAGCAUCAUUUUUGUAUUUGUGUCUCACUGAUGAUUUCAGUUUUUACAGUUACACCCACCAACUUGAAGCACCCUGAUGUAAGGCAGUAUUUAAGGGCUCUGCACUGUACACAGCAGUGGGGAAUCAGCAAUAAAAACGUUCCUCUGCAGUGCUCACUUGUAGCAGGCAGGCAAUGCAGGGCUCAGUAAGAAGCAUCAUUUCAGUGUGCCUUUUUCCCCCCCCGGUUUAAACAAAUGUUACAGUGGGACUGCAAUGUGCCAAUUUACAGUACUUUACUAUGAAUAUUAUGAUAAUUGCUGUUUAUCUUAUAUCCUCUAUAUCCUGGAUCUGACUUAUUUUUUAAGAAGCUUAAAUGUUAUUAAUUUAAAGCAGCACAAUGAGCACCCAUCUGGCUUUCACGCCAACCUCAGAGCGGAAAGAGGCUUAACAGUCUCAUAACCUGGAAGGCUGAGUUGUGUGUGAAGAUAUUCCCGUUUCACAUCUUGAGAUUUCUCUACAGCAAAUCUUUUUUCAAGCCUAAUUCUCCAAUGCUGGAGGUUAACAACCUAGAAUAGUUUGAGAAUCGUGUAAGCCCCGCGGCCAGUUCUUGUUUGCACAGCUCCUGCAUUGAGCUGAAGGAGGGACGUUCCCCCGUCCGAAUGUGGCCGGAAGCAUCUGUGAUAAGUGUGAAGAAGGAAACCUGUGUGGUCAGAUGUACGGGGGAGGGAUGGGGUGAAGCCGAAGUUUGGCUCAGAGCUUCCGCAUGGGCCCCGUUGCUGUGGAAACGACGGCCUUUGUCUGCAGUGCUACCGCAUCUCUAUACGUUCGGAAGAGCCAUCUCUUCUCUGUGUCAUUAGGAGGGGUCUGAAACGAAGCUGAUCAAUUCAGCUUCUGUGCUAUAGACAGUAACUUAAAUUGUGUGCUUAAAAACAAGUAAUGAAUCACCCUUUUAUGCAGUGACAUAUAGUUCCAUCCCAACACCAUGCUGUGCUGCUUGGGGAGAAGAAAGGGAAGGAAUAAUAAAAAUGGAACUGUGCUUUUACAUUCGGUUGCUCACAACCUUUCCCAUGUCCUCCUUAUCCUCCCGAGCGUGCCAAUCAGUGUAUAUUCUCCUUCUAUUCAUCCAUUACUUUGUGAAUAAGAUACUUUUAUGUGAUUAUUUCUUAAAUUAAAAAGACUCAAGCUCCAAGAAGUAGAUGCUUCCACUUAGAGCACAUUUUCUCUGCUAUUUGCAGUUUGUUUGUGUGAGUGGCUGUCUGAUUGUUGCCCAGGCAACCUGAGCAGGCGUGAAUUUGAUUAGAUAUAGUUUCACAGAUGUGGGCAGUGUUUCAAGCAUUGUUUGGUGUUUCUGUGUCUGUCCAAGACAAGUUUGUUAACUUUUAAGAGUUGUUUCUGUUUGAAGGACAGGGAAGAAAAGUCGAAGAUCUUGGUCAUUUUUAGCUGGAGUUAUCUCAGCUUGCUAGUUACUGCUUGUGGUAAGGGCCCACUUGUUCUUUUACAGAAGUCAUAUGGAUUUUUAGAAUAGAACAAGGAAAAAUGUGGAAAAAUUCCAGUACUGACAGCAGGGAGAUACGUAAAAGCACAAGCUGUUUUAUGGUCUCCACUAGAGCAGAUUAAAUUGUUAUCAUCACUCUAGCAGCUAAAAUCGUUAAAAUGUGGAGACUAGUUGGUCAUAUCGUGAUAAUAAGAGUAGCGGGAACAUAUUUUGAUAUUUAGCUAUGCACAGUCUGUUUUGUGAAGAGACAGCAUGGUACUUUAAAUGACGGCAGUGCUGCUCAGUGUGUUUAUUUUUUCCAGUGGAUGUGGCAGAUGUAAACAUCUGCUGGAUGCGUAGCUGGAGGACAGCAGUUUGACAUUCUGCAUGAGGGCUCAUGAUGAGCAAAGCUUACCUUCUUUUCCCUUAAAAAAAAAAAAAAAGCAGAAGUGGGAAGCAGAGUUCAGAGAUGAUAAAGAAAAAAUGAUCCCCCCCCCUGCACCUGAGCACCUUGGGCUUCAGGAUUCCACUCCGUCUAACAAAGACAUAAGCCUUCAAGGGAAUGUUUGGCUCAGCUUCCAGAUACAAAAUUCAAGGGAGCUGAGAUUUUCUGUUCUGUUUAAACUCUAGAAUAAACCGGAUUAACUAUUUAGCUGUGAGUACUGGCUCAGGUUUGCAAUGACCUGCAAACAGGCCUGGAAACAAGCCUUCCCUACAGUGCACCGAGUAACCUUCAGAGCUUUAUACGCUCUCUGCAAACGUGCAUCAAAAUUACUUUUUGUAAGCAAAUUAGCUCUUCUUUUAUGACCCCAUUCUCGAAAAUGAAUGAUUUGGCUGCCAGUACACUAUAAUUCAUACCUGGUCUGUGCUUUUAUAAAAUUGGAACCUUCUUCUGGAAACAUUUUUAUUUGUCUUUUUAAGGAAACAACUUCUGUGAUGACGCUGUCCAUCUAUAUGUGAGUCAGUUACUUGCUUGCAUUUGAUUUUCUUGGCAAACCAUAGCCAGAUUUGCAAAUAUCAACUAAUCUGAUAGCACAGAAAGAUCUGGAAGAAGUUCCUACACGUUCUGUUAAAAUUGGAAGCUGAGAGAAUGGGGAAGAGCCUUUAGUUAUAGAAAAACAGGGAGAACUCUGUUGCUCUCCAUUGCAUUUAGAGCAGCUGUGUAUAUAACCAAUCAGCCUUCAGGCAAAUUCUGCUAACAUAACACAAAGCAGAGGCAUCAUCACAAAAUAAUGACCAAGAGGAAGGCCGCAGGGACCAAAAGGAGCUGCUCUCAGAGCCUCCAGUAAUAGUGGGGUGGACUUGGGAACAAGCACUGCAAAACCCGCUGUGAUAGUCUUUGGAAAACAGGAGUUGUGUGGAGCACAAGCCAGAAUUUGUCUUUUCUGAUGCUCAAGAUAAUUUGUUUUACCACAUCUUCAGCUGUGAUUUGAUUCUUGUAAUGCUAUAAUGUGGUAGAAAGUAUAGCAAUAAUAGUGGGGUGGCAAAGUCCCAGGCUACAGCAAAUGAGGACAAGCCCAAGCACAGCAGUCACAGACACAGAAACAAGAAAAAAAAAAUCAUUUACCUUUGGAAGGCCUCAGGUAUGCAGGGAUUUCCAGCAAGAUACCCUUGAUUAUACUGCCAACCCUUAAAUGAGGUCUGGGAAGGGUUGGAUCCUGGCUCCACCCCUUCUGGUCACUCAGGUACAUUGCAUGCACCUGAGCUCGCCUGGGUUGGCCCUGCCUUCCCACUAGGUGCUCAAUCACUGCUUCAAGCUGUGACUUAGCAUUUCUGCUACACUCCUGGUUCUCUGUAAGGCAACUGAAAAAGCUGUACAGAUCCAAACCUCAUUAAUGGAUGACUCCUGCUGUCUUGAAUGGCUGUUGAACAGGGAUUUAUUAUUUUUUUUUUUUAAGGCACUUAGGAACCAAAGGAAAGAAACAGUAAUUAAGAAUAAUUGAAUAUCCAUAACCAGAAGGCUAGAUUUGUACUGUAGCUCAACCUCGGUUGCUGGUCAUUUAAAGGUAUAGCUAGUGAGCAAGCAAUUCUUAAAGACAGAGAUGAGAUUUUCAUCGAAAGGCUUAGGAGGUAUGCUGAAAUACAUCAUUAAAAAAAAAAAAAAAGCCAGAUCUUAUUUUGCAGGCUGCUGAAAGUAGCAAAGUAACUUAUGACUACUUUUUCUAAUAAAAUUUACUGUUUCUGAACCCUGACAAUACAGGCUUUGAUUUUCUGCAGAUCUGUUUCUUGUGCAUGUUAACUGAGAGAGCAUGAGAAUUAAUACUAUCCUUUCAGCUGAUAGCCACUAAGCGUUAAUCCUCUGUACUCUGUAGUCAGGUGGUAUUGUUUCAACAUCUACAAUAGAUAAGUCUCAACAUUUUUAUAUGACAGGUCCUAGGAGUGCACACUUGUGGGGCACGCUCCAUGCAUUACUGAAGAAUUUGCUUGUUCCCAUUCACAGAUUUGUGUUUGCUUUUUGUUGGCUUGCAUUUGUGUAAAGAACAGCCAUCUUCCAGCACAAGCAUGCUCAAAAGCCUGUUUAUGUGAUUGCUGAGAAGUGGAACAAAUACUGGAAUCUCCAUCCUGCUCUACCCCACAGAGCUGAGCAGCCCUGCUAAGUUCAUGUUGUUGUUCUCUGUUGGCCUGGCUGCAGGUACUAAUUGUGGCUGUUUGACCGAUUUUGACCCUAUUAAAAUAGAACCUGUUAUUUGAAAUAAAGGCGAAGGAGAGGCAUUGACAUAAUUCAAUAGAAUUUCAUCUUCUAUUAAAUGAAAUGGGAGUGGAUUUUGCUUUCUUAUUUGAGCUCUGACUGCUAAGUCCUUGGCAUACAAAGGCAAUUAUUCUGGUUCAAAUAUCCUUAUACUCCCAAAAUCAAAUACCUCCCCUCCUCCCCCCCAAUUUGUUUGUGAGGAAAGAAAUAAAUUGAUAUUUUGUUUCUUACUUUUUCUCAUCCUCUAGACUGACAGUUGAAGCACCAUAGGAGGCUUUAAAAGCCUGUGUAUCUAGAUGCAUUUCAUACAGGAUAGCUAUUAACUUGGCUUCACAGAAAUGGACUCAGAUAAAGAGUGAUAAGUCACAUGUUAGUAAUGGUUUAUGUCCUUUAAGAAAGGAACAAAGAAGCCCUGUCAGGGCUAUAGAUCUGGUACGUGCUAAUCGUACUGAGCAACAGAUCAUUGUUGCAAAUGUAAGGAUGCACGGACAAAAGCUCGUCAGUCCUUAUAAAUUGUCAAGCCAUAUAUAGUAUCUUGUACUCUUCUUUUAUGUUUAAGUCCCUUCAAGAAAGAAAUUACAGAAAUUACUUUUUAGAAGUAGUAAUAGAUAUCUGGCUUAUUAAGUACCUUUCUAGAAGAAUCUGUUUGACUUACAGGCAUAUGCAGAUGUGGAAACACUAAAAAGACUGAAGAAUAAAGCAAUUGGAGGUUGGAGGCUGUGCUUCAGACUUGCUCUACUCUGCAGGCUACAGUAUGAUUUCACAGGAAAAAGGUUCACUAUGCUCUUGCAUUUAAGUAGCAGCACAGAAUACCCAGUAUUUAGUCCUUAGAAUGAAUUGCUGCACCCUCUGCUACAGCCCUGUCCAAGGGUACUGAGCAAAGGCAAUGCCACAUCUAAAUUCUACUCUCUUUACACAGCUUCAGCACUAUGUCACACAUGCUGUUACUGUUUGGGAAACUCUUCAUCACAAAAAUGUUUCACUAUAACCCAAAAGUGGACUAAUGCUGUCACUGGUAAAACCACUUUUACUGGUCUAAAGAAACAGAUACAUGGUGUUAAAGCUAAAGAUUCAAUGUAAGAGUAACAGAAUAUGGGUUGUAUCCUUGAAUAUUUUUUGUACUUCUGACAACUCAAAAACCAAGCAAUAAGAUAUUUUAGCAGAACAGGAGAAACCUCUGAAGAAUUCAAGAUGUUUCAAAAAAUAUGCUGUAAUCCUAAAAAGUAAAUAAAUAAUCAAAAUACACAAAAUCAACUGCUGCCUUUGAUCUACAGUUGAAUAGUUUUUUCAUAAUCCUGGAUUCAGUUGCACCUGUUCUACCUCAGAACACAGAAGGCAACUAGAAGAUGUGGAUAUCAGUUCUCACUUAAAUGGACAGGUCUGCAUGCCAACUCUGGUAGGUCUCGUCCCUAGUGCCAUUGCUGCAGCGGGUCUCAGUCUGCAGCCACCACUGGGCAGCUCCAUCCCUGGGCACUCUCUCUGCACUGUGCAGGCUGUGAGCUGCCGCUGUGGGGAUGGAGCUGUGCAAACAGCAGGAGGAGUCAUUUUCUCUCUUAGCCACUGAUUAAAGCAUAGGGAUGAGGUGGGACUGGCACCACUGAUACCAGGUUUUUGUGCUGAGCAGGGAUUUCUGUGACACUGAAUUACCUGCGUGCUCUAAGACUCCCUAGUUCCAGAUUUGCAUACACGCAAAACAAACUAAUUUGUUACAGUAAAAAUAAACGCAAGCUCUGCAGUCCUCUUAUCUCGCCUAGUAGAUGACAUGGCAUUUGGGUGCUGCAGUAUCUAGGCUGAUAACAGUGCUUUACCACCCAGAAGAGCAAUAAGGGCUGCCUGAGGCUAUGGAAAGGACAAUUUCUGACUCACUAGGAAAAAAAAAUUUAAGCUGCUAUUAUUGGAGCAGAGGAAGUCUCUCUGAACGUAACAACAUACAAGCAAUCAGCUGCAUUGUGCUCGGGUUGUUUUUUUUUUUUUUUAAUAAAAACCUACAGCUAACAAAUAUUUAAAGUUGAAAACCUCAUGUUAAUGUAUUAAACUCAAUGCUACCAACAUUACACUUGAGAUUCUUGGCUAGACUGGAAAUAGUAAGCAUUUCCAAAAGAACUAUACAGCGCAUUGCUCUGGGGUUGUUGACAUCAGUAGUCCAUUCCACUUGUGAAGUCAGACUUUAGAAUCUGUCUGCUGUUUCACUGAAGCUAUAACAUACCAUCUUCCCUGUAUUCAUUGAACUUAUAAUUUGAUUGGAAAAACCCACAAAAAUCAUAACAACAAAAAGACAAAAAACCCAACAAAUUAAUUUGAUAGAAGUCCAGGCUGUUCAUUGUAAUAGAAGAAUUACUUCUCUACAGUGCCCACUGGAAGGAAUUUUUCAUGGCUUUGAAUUAAGAAAUCACAAGUACUUCAGUUUGGGAGAGCAGAACUAUUCAAGGGACUGACUUUCUCUGGUUCUGCUCCAAAACCAGAUCUGUAUCAGGCUUUCCAUUUUCAGUUUAUUCAAAAUGGCAGGUAUUUUGAUGUAUAGCUUAAAUUGCUGUGUUUUAUUUGUCCAGCCAUUUCCUCUUAUUAUAAAUUCUCCGCUUAUUUAGGGGAUAUUUAUGUGCUUUGCUGAAAGAAGCAGCAACUACGAGAAUUGGCCAUAAAGGUGUAUCAGAAAAAAAUUGUAACUUAGAUAUAAAUGUAUCUGAUAGUAUAAGAAGAACAAGAUCACAUUGUAUAAGUAGAAAGUCAAAGGACUCCUCUAAGUAACGUUCAUGCUAUGUACAGCAAUGAAGGAAACAUAUAUAGCUAUAUAUGUUUCUUAGCUUGCUGAUGUCAGUGGACUCGCAUUCUGUUUCAGAAGCCAUGAAUGUUGCCUAAUUUCUUUUUUCCUUUACCUCUUGCUCUUGUGAAACUCUUCAAAACUAAUUAAAAAAAUAAAUUCUAGAUAUGCAGAUCAGCAUAAAUAACAUGGAAGAGUUAUCCAGGAAGGAUAAUGAAAAUGUGUUUUAUUUAUGAUGCAUGGAGAGAGAAGAUGAAAGACAGGGUAAAAGUUCAUCUGGUCACCAUUUGGUGUGAUGUAGUCCAUCCUUUGAUCAAUGGAUGCUAAAUAGUUCUGCAGAAUGGAAGUCCUGUAGGCAAUGGUUUUACACAAUAGAAGGGAAAGCAGGUUAGCACCCUCAGGCUGCAACCUGUCUCUAUUUUAGUAGCACUUUCUCCAAAUGCUGUUGUCUAUUCCUGUUUGGUUUUUUGUUUGUCUGUAUUUUUAUAGAGAAGAGCACAAUGCAUAUUCAUUGCUUUACUCUUCCAUCACUUGAAUAGAGAAAUCAAGCAAGCUUCAUGUUAUGGCUGCAGGCUACCACUUGUAAACUGCUGCUUAUCACAGCAUAUUGUAACCUCAAGGUACCUGGUGGAGUUCCAGUGGAACUUUGUGUUAAGCCUUGAAACGUGCAUAUUGCUGGGAAACUUCUUGAGGACUACUGUAGAAACGUAGAUGUAAAAACGUGUUUUUUCUUUUUUUACAUUUAGCAUUACAUAAGAAAGCACAUGAGCAGCAACCAAGAUUAGAGCUCAGUUUUGCUUCACUCUAAAUCUAGGCAGUAAAGGUCAUUUAUUUCCCAAAGAGCUUCUAGUCAAAACGGGGCAUCAUUGCAGGAGAAAGGAAGGGUUAUUACCAGGAUUUGCUAAGGCUCUGCAAUCCAGGCCACUAGGGAAGCCCCACUAGAAGCAGAAGCUCAACAGUGAUCUCAGGAAUUAAAAAAUGAUAUACAUAAAAAACAGUUUCUUUGGAAUCAUCUUUUGUAUUAGACACAUACUGCUCUCCUUACCCUAUCUUAAUUUAGGCUUAAUUCAAAGCAUACUGUUUCAUAACAGGCAUUUAAUAUGAAAAUAGAGGUCCCCAGAACAGCAAAGACGUGAAUCCUCAUGAUACACAGUUGCCAGCACUAAGUAUCAUCUAACAGAAGACACAGAAAUGCUAUGCACCCAACUAGAUAAAGCUCUGACCUUCCUGUUCACAGUAUAAUAAGCAGUUUGUACAGUGAUGAAAAAAAUAUUAUAGACUUGGUCAAAUGCAAUAGUCAUAAGCACAGAAACAAGAAGAAAAAGCCACUUACCCUCACAAGGCCUCAGGUACAGCAAGAUCUCUAACAAGACACACUUGUACCCACUGUUAACCCUUAAAUGAGGUCUGGGAAGGGGUGGAUCCUGGCUCCACCCCUUCCAAUUACUCAGGUACAUUGCAUGCACCUGAGCUCCCCUGGGUUGGCCCUGCCUUCCCACAAUGUUCUCAGUUCCUGGUUCAGGUGGUAACUUAGCAUUUCUGCUACAGUAGCAAGCCUGGAAUGAAGGUUUUAUUUUCUUUUAAAAAGAGCAAGUGCUUGAGCAGUUAACACAUAACAGAAUCGAGGGGUCUAAGAAAAAGAACGUCCUGGCUUCUUUCAUGAAGUGACUAAUUUUGUUCUCUAGUUGCCAAUUGCAACUUCCAUUUUGUUCCUAGAGUACAAUUUAUGAAUUUUGAUAUUCAAAUGGGACAAUAUUUCUGUUGAUUUUGUGAUGCAACUGACACAAUACGUGGUCAGUUCCUAACUUGGCAAAAGCUUCCAGUUUCUUUAUGCAGUUAAAGACAGAAGAUGCCUACUGUUCUGCUGACCUAAAAACUGUUUCUCCUAGGAGGGUACAGGGAAAAGAUACAGGAGCAAGUGUCCUGUAACUUACCCCAUCCAGCCAUACUUUGUCAAGGCAGCAGCUUUGCUGGCUGAUCUCUGUUGUUUCUGAAUCACAGCUAGGUCUAAUCCAGUGACCUGGUGCCUACAUUUAUGUGAAGGUAAAACUUCUGAGUACAGUAAAAUAUCAAAAGCAGUUGAUAGCCCAGAUUUCUUUCUAAUUUUAUUUCUAAAAGGCCUGAAAAAUCACUUAGGGAAAAUGCUUUUGAAUGAAGCCGGAUACUGUGACCAGAAACGGUGGAUGAAGCAUACCCAUCUUGUGAGAAAGUGCCUGCUGCAUUGUCCAAGAAUGCAAAUGAAUUUUGGAGGAAGGGGUUGCAUUAGAGCAAUAGCUUAGGUCAGUAACCCGUUUCUGAAACCGCUGAGCCCAGCCUCCUUCUCUCCAGACAUGGGUAAUUCACAUUGCUAAAGAAAUUAUAAAAAUACGUGGGAGUAAAAAGGAUGUGUGUACAGUACUCAGUUGUUAAGAUGAAUAUCUGUCGGAAGGGCUGACCAUCAGCCAAGAUUUCAAGCAAAUCAAAUAUGGGGAAAUGAAACUCUGCAGGGCUCUCAUGGAAGUAGGAAUCAGAUCGACUUUGAUCCAUUUUCCAUUGCCUCGGGGCAUCUGCAAAUGCAGUUGGACUAGAUUAGAUCUGCCCAGGAAAAGGAGUGCUUUUGUUUGGGACUUGCUAGGGCUGCUUGCUAGAAGGUGAAUUAUACCUAAGGCUGAGCAUCUUGAAGGAGUCAUCACCUCCUCUGUGACUUGUUGUGGCUUUGUUAGUAAACACUUCUCACCUGUGACAGUCACUGAUAAAUCUCAGACAGGAGUUUCUCAUCUAUUAUAAACAGCUUUCAGUUGCUCCCCCGAGGGAGGUAUUUUUUAGAAUUUGGUAUGUCUUAUUGCUCAGAUGGCAGUAUUAGCAGUAUGAUGUUUCUUCAGCGUUUUCCAAGUGUACUUGUCAGGAAUGUUAACGAAAAGAUGGAAGACAACCCUUCCUUCUCUGCUCCUCUACCUGUGAUCAAGAGCAGUCAUAAAAGUGCCAAGGUCUUCAUGUGUUGAAAGUUUCAUCUGUAAAAUCCACAAUAACAACAACCUCUAAUAGAGAAACCUCCAUCCUCUCUCUAUGCAAUUCCUAACCCUCCUUCAUCCCCUAGACUCCUGUUCCUUGCAGUGCCUGGGCUCUUGCCAAGUCACAGUGAAGGCAGCAGGAUUAGACACGGGUUUAAAGUUAGGCCUGAGCUUCAGCACCUGGGAUCCAUACUGUAAUGACAAGAACAGAGUAUUAGAACUAAAUGAUAUGUUUAUACAAGCAAAUGAAAAAAUGCACUGGGUUCCAAAGUCCUCCCAUCAAAUUUGCUCUCCAAAGUUAUGUAAAUCCACACUGAUGUCUACAUUUAAAAAGGCUCAUUGCCAUUUAUGGGUGUACUAAUGCAAUGCAGUAAUUUGCUCCAUGGUUAAGACCCCAGUAAGUUAUGAGAAGACAAUAUGAAUAAUUAUGUGUAUGAGGGGUUUUUUUUAGCUGAAGCCAGGGGUUUAGAAAUGCGAAAUACAUAUUAAUGAGUGCCGUGCCUCUGAAAGGUGCUAGAUUAACCUUCUUUAAGAGCAGAAUCCUCAAUUUAUUCACCAGCAAAGUGCCAUGUUAGCAGCAGCACUCGUAGUGUGUGCUGGGAGUGCUCCCUAUCCCUGCUGGGUCUGUGCUGCGGCAAACCCCUGCUUUGGCACAUGAAACUAGAGCCACAGAAAGGAAAGGAGUUGGUUCUUCAUUGCUCAUGUACCUGAAGGGGUGUGCUGUACCCUGUGUUUGUAGUAAGAUUGUUUGGGGAAUGGGAAGACUGCUUGUCCUCUAGGCCUGUCUGUCCUCUAAACAUUCAGUGCUCAUCUCAAACUGUGAACAUAAAUGCAAUAUGUGACAGAUUUUUUUAGCGAUCAAGAAGAUGUCUACACAGAGGCCAUGGGAGAUAGUAAGAAGGUACAUAAUGCCUGGUUUGUAGCAAGCACUUUUCUGAUGAAAUGGCUUCCAGAUGACCACAGCUGAGGCCACCUACCAAGCAAAACCUGGGAGGUGGAUAAGUGCUGCUCUUUCUCACUAUUCAGCACUGCUGGGUGGAGUUCCUCAGCUUGACAGGAACAUCCAGUGCCUACGAUUACAACAGGACUGUCAGAUUUCUUUAGUAUUGCAUGUGUCAUAGAUUUCUUGAGUUUGUGGAAGAAGAUAUAUUCUCAGGGCUGUUGGUACACCACAGCAUCCUCUGGAGAACUGGGCUUAGUCAUUUGCUAAUGAAAACUGUUACAUUUACAGAUGUCAGUGAACCCAUACAUGCUGAUUUGCAGCACUGAGGUUGUGGCUUGCAAGGUUACCCUUUGACAGAGGGGAAAAAAAAAUCACAAAAUGAAUAUAAAGAAACUAUAUUAAAAAUUAGCUUUUAGAACCUGACGUGGACUUUAAUUGAUGAGUAUAAUUCAAAUUGUAGUCUCACACUUGAUGUCUAUUUUUGACAUUAUUAUCAAUUUCUUCCUAAGAGUAGGUAUUUCAAGGCAAAUACUGCUUUCAUUAUGAGUUUUUCUCCAAAUAUUUAAUUUUUGAAAACUUGUAGAUCAUUUGAAGCAUUUUCCAUUUCUAUUAAUAUUCAUGAAAGUGAGAACUCAUAACAUUACAUCAUUAGAUUGAAUACCAGUAAAAUGAUUUGAGGUAUACAGCAGUGAAAUGUAAAUACUGAACAAGUUUCAGUUAUUCAUUUAAACUGGAAAAAAAAAAAAACAACAAAACAUGAUACUAAAUCAUUAAACGUGAAGGAAAAUAUGCAAAUGCAUCAGCAAAACAGAAUCACAACUGAAUAAAUCAUGGGUGCAAGUUCUGAAGUGUUUUCAAAAGGUAUUUCUGAGAAAUAAAAAUCAGUUUAACCACAAUCAGUUGUAAUUCAUAGUUCUUCCAUUAUAUUUUCAUUGUUGGGGAAUAGCUUAUUAUUCAUGGGUGGAUAGCAGAAAUUAAACAUAGUUACUGCUUGAUAUAUCUACUUCAUUUACAAGACUGAAACUAAAAACUUAAUGACAGAACAAAUUAGGCAACUCCAAACAGGUUAUAAAAAAAGAUGACUACAUAUUGAAGUUCCUUGCUUUUUCAGCACUGAGGCAGUAACAAGCACCUGUGUGGUCAUUGCUUUGGUCAUUCCAACUAUAUAGGCAAAAGAUUAUCUGAUUAUGCCCCAAAAGCAGGAAGGUAAGCCACAUGGGUCUUAUUUCCUGCAAGUCUAAAUUGUGACCAUUGUUCCAUGCCAAAUUCAACACCUAAAUGGGUUUAAGUUUCAGCAUUCAAAAGCCUGUUUCAAUUUUUUAUUUUGUACAUAUGUCUGUUUUUAUCAAUUAUUUAGAUAGAUUUUAUAUGGCUGAAGCAAAUGAUCUGUCUGUCAGAAUCAAGGCUAUUAGGUGGUAUUGGUCAUCUGUCAAAGCUAAUGAGGCUGGCUGGCUCUGGCAUCACUGCUAAGCAGAUGUCUGUAAGCAACAAAUCCCCCAAAUAAUUUUCUUAUGUGUAAAAAGCACCAUGAAGCCACAGAUGUUCAUUUCCUUCCUCCGUUAUGUAACCCUUAUACUUCUUAAUUUCUUGUAAAAAGUAAAGUUGCAUGCCCCUGUUUCAUUAACUAUUUGUGAGCAAAGCAGAUCAACAUCCUAAAUUUAGUUGACAAUAAUAGAAAACCCUCUUAAAAUGUAUUCUCUAUUCAAAUUCCCUGUGCUGUGUUGGUGUGCCUAUGCCUCCUGUUUUUACUGAGAAUCCUGAGUUCUUCACGUUCAUUUCUCAGUUUCCUUAUUGUUACCGUCGCAGUAUCGAGACAGUGCUCCAUUCCUGCUUGAGUGUCACCUUGUUGGUCUAUCUCCAGAAACACUGAAGAAAGAGAGAAGCAGAGCAUGUUGUUUUCUGCGCAUACUUGGCAAUGAAUUCUAUUUGCACAGCAGCUGGAGCUGUAAGUGGUUUGCUUCUUAGGUUAUUGUUUGUAAAAUAACAAAUAUGCAUGAAUAUAUAUAUUUAUAUUAAAAAACAAACAAACCCUUCCAUGCAGAUUUUAUAUAUCUAGUUAAGAUCACAUCACGGUAUUUCACUCGCAGUGAGGCUGUGAUUGACAAGCCUGCGUAAUUAACAGGUAGAAGGAAUAUAUGUUGAGCUACAUGAUGUCCAGGAGCUCAGGCUGUUUGCUAGCACUUUCUCUGCUGUGUUCCGUGUUUUUCUCCUAGGGUUGACAUUCCUCUCUCCUACCUGGACAGGAAGGGACAACAUGAUGAUUUACCAGCAUUUUGAUACUGCCUUGUGUAGUGUCUUGUCUUGGUUUGGUUUUGUAUUACUAUUUCUAAAGUGGAAGUUAUUAUUUUUAAGAGAGGACAUGGUAUUUUUGCAGGAAGAAGGGGACUUAUCUCACCUGAUUGCCCCAAGUUCCUUCUGAGGUUGCUGUAGAGGUGCGUAUUCUUGCUGUAGAAGUGCAUAUUGCAGAGCUUAUCUGCCAGAUGCUGGCAAAAUUCCUACAGAAAUACAGAAACCCUGCAAACACCAGUUGUCUUAAAGGGAACGACACCUCUGCAUCAAGUCAAGGAAAAGCUCACAAUCGUCGUCUCAGCAGCUGGGUGAGAUAACACUAACCCUGGCUUCUGUCAUAAUAAAUUAUAUCACAGCAGAGAGAAACUGCCACAGGCAGUUGGCCCUUACUCUCAUGUAAGUGAAUACAGAUUCUCAAACCUGACUUUCUGCAGUGGUACUCACCAGACCCUACUGUCCUUGCCUUUGAAUCAUCUAGGCUAGCUCAGCCUACACACUGUGCAAUAAAUCUCAUCAAAUGCCACAAUCUCUUGCCAUUUUCCCUUUGUGUAUGAGGAAGAAACAAAGACCGUGGUCAAAACUGAAGGCUUCCCUAUUUCUUUGUGAAUGGCAAUGCUGAGGCGUGGUUAACUUAACCAAUUUCUCCUAUGUAGUUAUGCUGAAGGCCCACUCUUAGUACAGUGAUACCCAAGACUCUGCAAAACACAUCAGUGUUGCUUUUUGAUGCUCUAGACGUGUUUUUGACACCAUCUUUUCUGCAAGGUUCCCAUGGCACACUGUCCAUUCUCUCUAUGGAAUUAGGAAAACAGCUCAUUAGAAACACAGAGCUGCCAAAUAGGAUGAUUUCAUCAGGGCACUCUGCCAACUGAAGUGGCCCAUG
rnacentral:lncRNA from 1 species